UACGAAGGGUGCAAACGUUGCUCGGAAUCAUUGGGCGUAAAGCGUACGUAGGCGGCUUCGCAAGUCGGAUGUGAAAUACCUAGGCUCAACCAAGGACGUGCAUCCGAAACUGCGAGGCUUGAGUACAGAAGAGGAUCGCGGAAUUCCCGGUGUAGAGGUGAAAUUCGUAGAUAUCGGGAGGAACACCAGUGGCGAAGGCGGCGAUCUGGGCUGAUACUGACGCUGAGGUGCGAAAGCGUGGGGAGCAAACAGG
rnacentral:rRNA from 1 species